UUCACCUCUUUCCCGAACCCAAAUCUCUCUCUCUUCAACCAUGCCAUAUAUCAGAGCUUUGAGGAAGACCCCCUCACUUUAUUUCAAGGUCAUGAUUUCUUGUUUAUGAUUCUUACAAUGAGUUCUUGCAGGUUGAACCAUCUUGGACUCUUGAUUACUUCCAAAGGACUUUUCUUUUCGGGUGUCAUCACAUACUUUUGAACUUGAUGGUGCGAUAUUAUGGCUAUAAUGAGAAUUCUUGCAGACAAUGUUUGGAAAAUACUUCUGAAUCAGUAUUGGGUUGCUUGCCUUGGUCUGAGAGGAGGGCAUUAAACACUGGGUGCUUCAUAAGGUACUCUGAUAUUUUCUCAACAAGGAAUUGGGAAGUGGAAGUUCCAGAGGUACGAUUAUUGUGAUAACGUUCUUAGUUGUCAGUUCCCUGGUUGUUUUGGUAGUUGGAGGAGUUAUUGAAUUGUAUAUCUGGAAGCACUGAUAUAUACAACAGAAAAGAACAGGUUUCAAUGAUGCAGAAAAGAUGGCAAAAACCCUUAAUGACGGUAGCUUAAACUUUAAGUACUCUACAAUUGAAAAGGCCACAUAAUCUUUUGGCAAUGACAAUAAGCUUGGACAAUGAGGUUUCGAAACAGUUUAUAAGGGAGUUUUGCCUGAUGGGAGAGAGAUUGCAGUGAAGAGGUUUUUCUUUAACAAUAGGCAUAGAGCAGCAAAUUUCUAUAAUAAAAUCAACAUUAUAAGCACUGUGGAACACAAAAAUUUGGUUAGAUUGUUGGGUUGAAGUUGCUCAGAACCGGAAAGCCUUCUGGGCUAUGAAUAUUUAGCCAAUAAGAGUCUUGACCGCUUCAUUUUCGGUAAUUAAUAAGCACGUUGUAUUUCU